GUCGAGGACGGCAGCUACGGCGCGUGCAUGUCUUUCGUUCGGGACAAAAAGGCCGUGGGUUCAAAUCCCGCCGCCCCGACA
rnacentral:tRNA from 1 species